AGUAAAAUUGCUGGAUCAUAUGGUGGCUCUAUGUUUAGCUGUUUGAGGAAUUCCACAGUGUUUUUCACAGUGGCUGUAUCAUUUUGCAUUCUCAUCAGCCAU
rnacentral:pre_miRNA from 1 species